AGACCAGAAGUUUUUUGAAUUCCAUCUCUAAUGACCUGCAGAUCAGAAGACUGGUAAACCUGGAGCCUCAUCCCAGGAGGUGAUGGUGUCUGGGUUUAUUAUGGAUUGCAGGAUGUAACUAUCAAUCUGGAGCUUUAGGGGGAAGAAGAAAGAAUAUUUUGAACCACACCAGGAGAAUUACCCUAGAGAAUAUAAGUUCACCUGCCAAAAUGGGAGGCUGGCAUCUUUUUGCUCUAUGAGAAGGCUGCUGAGCUAACAGGUCUGCCUUGGCAUAAAUAUCUAGAAGAGCAUGUGUCUCCUGGAGUAUGGGGACAUUUGUGUUUCCAUAAAUUGGCAGCUACUUCUGGUUAGAGACUUCUAAAAGGUCUGGAAUACUGGAAUACUGGUAUAGUCCAAAAGGGGAAGAUGAAAAGGAGCCGUGGAACAUUGUACCUGGGAAGAAGAUGGGACAUUACUCUCCGCAUGCCCUGGAGCUUUCGGAAGACGUAUAAGAGGAUCUUAGUUUCCAUAGCUCCACAUGAAAGAGCAAGCAGGGCUGCUGAUGUCCACUGUGGGCUCCAAGUGAGGGACUGGCCCAUGGGCAGGAGGUGAGGGAGACUUACUUGCUUUUCUCUGAGCUGGUCCACAGCAGCAGAGGAGACUGGGGUGAGCCUCACUCCAGAAUACUUGUAGAGUAUGUGACACUGGUUCCCAACCUUGGCUCCACAAAAAUUACCUGUGAACCUUUUAAAAUACACAUAAGAAAUUCUUACUGAAUUGAACUGGGAUGAGAUUCCACAUAUCAGGAUUCUGUAAAAGCUCCCCCAAUGACUCAAGAUGAAGUCCGGGUUGAAGACCAGUGAUAUGCAGGAAAUGUGUCCUGUGAUUUGGAACCACAUUCCAUUUGUCAAGCAAGACACUACGGCCACAUAAUGGAGAUCUACUUCCAUAUGAACCAGUGGAUUUCACUCUGCUUAAUGGUAUCCUGUUAGGUUACAGAGGUGAAAAGCUGAACAAAGUGUUUCAACUCUGAAGUCACAGUCCGUGGAAGAAAUAGACACACCUGCACACAUACUUUCAACACAGCAUUGUCAAGUCCCGAGAUGCACAGGAUGCUAGAGGAAUAGGGAU